rnacentral:rRNA from 1 species
UACGGAGGAUCCGAGCGUUAUCCGGAUUUAUUGGGUUUAAAGGGUGCGCAGGCGGGAGAUUAAGUCGGCGGUGAAAUUUUGCAGCUCAACUGUAAAAGUGCCUUCGAAACUGGUUUCCUUGAGUGUGGAUGAAGUAGGCGGAAUUUGUGGUGUAGCGGUGAAAUGCUUAGAGAUCACACAGAAUAUCGAUUGCGAAGGCAGCUCACAAAGCCAAGAUUGACGCUGAGGCACGAAAGUGUGGGGAUCAAACAGGAUUAGAUACCCCGGUA